UUUAUGAACAGGCUUCUGGUCAAAGAGUGAACUUCCAAAAAAGUAGUAUUGUCUUUAGUAGGAAUGUUAAUCUUGCUCUUCAAACCAACAUGGCAUCCAUCCUCGAAGUGGCAAGAAAGGAAGAGCAUGACAAUUACCUCGGCUUACCAUUGAGAGUGGGAAAAUCCAAGACAGCAAAAUUUGCUUACAUCAAGGAGAAGCUGUCUAAGGCUAUGUUGGGGGGGGCUUUUUUGCUCCCCUGCUUAUAAGCACCAGAGCAACAAGUGUUUGGUGAGUGAGCUUAUGGUCAGCUUUUGGAAAAAGCUGCCCCAGCUUUCCCCAGCUUUUAGAAGCUGACUCCCCCCAGCUUUUAGAAGCCAGAAGCCCGCUGAGUACUGUAGCGGUGAUUACUGUUCAUUAAUGAAUUUUUUUAAAUCCCGGUUUCUACCCUCCGUUGGCUGAAGCAAUUACAAUGAACUGCCAUCAAACCCUCGAUAUCGAUAUCAGUCUCUCGCUCUCCCAUCCCAUCUCCCUCUGCUCGAUCACAGAACGCAUCCCAUCCCAUCAAGCAAGCCUCGAUCUCCCUCUGCUCGAUCUCCCUCUCACAGAACCCAUCCAGUCGCCGCCACAUCUCGCGCAUCCCAUUCGAUCUCCCUCUAAUCACAGAACCCAUCCAGUCGCCGCCGCAUCUCGAUCUCCCUCUAAUCACAGAACCCAUCAGUCGCCGCAUCUCGAUCUUGGCCUCACUUGCAUCUCAUCAGGAUUUCGGAAGUGAAAUUGAAGCCUCAAUCAAGCAAGUUUCCCAGCACAGGAAGCUAGCUAGCAGGUAGCAGAAAAAGAGAUCAGAUCAGAAAAGUGGUGCAGGUCUCAUAUUAUAGCUAGUCUGGAUCAUGUGAUUCUAGAGUUUAAAUGAUAUAUGUGAUUCUAGAGUUUAAAUGAUAUCAACUAAAUUUUGUGGUGGGCAUAGAGCCAGUUUGUAGUACACUUUUAUUCAAGUAACUCGAUGGAUUAUCAUCAAAUCUAUAUUUUAACAGUUUGAUAUUUGCUAGCA